UGGCACAACGUUUACCCACUAUAUACACCUCCAUCCCUUUCCCUUUCCUUUCUUAUUUUCAUCUUUGUUUCUAACACUCAAAAAUUCAACAAUCAAAAUCCAAAUGGAACUCAUGUGCGUAGGUGUGUGUGAAGUUCAAGGUCUGUGUGCUUGUUUGUGCGCAAUGUUCUGCACUCCUGUACCUCUGGGCAAAUAUUUCGAAAUGUUCCCUGGCCAAUGUGAGUUUCAGGACACAUCACACUCUGAAGUCUUUAUAUCCUACACUGAAUAUAGUUCUUUCAAAUAUUUUAAAAUUUAAUUAAUAUUUUACUGUUCUUGAUUGACAGCUCUUACAUUUAUAGCAUUUGGCAGAUACCCAAGUUUAUAGGCUUUUUACAAGGGCCAGCAGUGACAGCUACCACUUCUCAAACUCUGGUCCAGAAACCAAGAUCAACAUGAGCAAGCUGUGAUUUCUGUAACAGUCCUGUUACCCGGCCCUGAGCAGACACCCAAAGUUAAGUGCCUUCUUUCAAGGGCUCAGCAGUGGCAGCUACCACUUCUCAAACUCUGGUCCAGACACCAAGGUCUAUGGGAAUUAUAAGCCCCACCCAUUUUACCACCAAUCAAAGAUCUAGAGUUUGUG